CGAAGGUCCCAAGCGUUAUCCGGAUUUAUUGGGUUUAAAGGGUGCGUAGGCGGGCUAUUAAGUCAGUGGUGAAAGCCCCAAGCUUAACUUGGGAACUGCCAUUGAUACUGAUGGUCUUGAGUACAUUUGAGGUGGGCGGAAUGUGUCAUGUAGCGGUGAAAUGCUUAGAUAUGACACAGAACACCGAUUGCGAAGGCAGCUCACUAAACUGUAACUGACGCUGAGGCACGAAAGCGUGGGGAGCAAACAGGAUUAGAUACCCUGGUAGUCCACGCCCUAAACGACGAUCACUCGAUGUGUGCGAUAUACUGUACGCGUCUGAGCGAAAGCAUUAAGUGAUCCACCUGGGGAGUACGACCGCAAGGUUG
rnacentral:rRNA from 1 species